rnacentral:tRNA from 1 species
AGGGUUAAUUAUCUAUUGGUAUAGACUGGAAUUCUCUUAAUUUUCUAUUAGGGUUCGAUUCCCUUUAGCUCUA